rnacentral:rRNA from 1 species
AACGUAGGACGCAAGCGUUAUCCGGAAUUACUGGGCGUAAAGCGCGUGCAGGUGGGUGACUAAGUCCCCUGUGAAAGCCCCUGGCUAAACCGGGGGAGGUCAGGAGAUACUGGUCGUCUUGAGGAUGUCAGAGGGAAGCGGAAUUCCGGGUGUAGUGGUGAAAUGCGUAGAGAUCCGGAGGAACACCAGAGGCGAAGGCGGCUUCCUGGGACAUACCUGACACUGAGACGCGAAAGCAUGGGGAGCGAACGGG